GAUGAACGCUGGCGGCGUGCCUAAUACAUGCAAGUAGAACGCUGAAGGAAGGAGCUUGCUCUUUCCGGGUGAGUUGCGAACGGGUGAGUAACGCGUAGGUAACCUGCCUGGUAGCGGGGGAUAACUAUUGGAAACGAUAGCUAAUACCGCAUAACAGUAGAUGUUGCAUGAUUUCUACUUAAAAGGUGCAAUUGCACCACUACCAGAUGGACCUGCGUUGUAUUAGCUAGUUGGUGAGGUAACGGCUCACCAAGGCGACGAUACAGAGCCGACCUGAGAGGGUGAUCGGCCACACUGGGACUGAGACACGGCCCAGACUCCUACGGGAGGCAGCAGUAGGGAAUCUUCGGCAAUAGACGGAAGUCUGACCGAGCAACGCCGCGUGAGUGAAGAAGGUUUUCGGAUCGUAAAGCUCUGUUGUAAGAGAAGAACGAGUGUGAGAGUGGAAAGUUCACACUGUGACGGUAUCUUACCAGAAAGGGACGGCUAACUACGUG
rnacentral:rRNA from 1 species